rnacentral:snoRNA from 1 species
UUUAAAUGAUGAUUACAAAAGACAAGCAUAUGUCUGAUUUCCAGUGAUGUUUGCCAUUUUUUUCUGACACG